rnacentral:rRNA from 1 species
GGUUAAGCGACUAAGCGUACACGGUGGAUGCCCCGGCAGUCAGAGGCGAUGAAGGACGUGCUAAUCUGCGAUAAGCGUCGGUAAGGUGAUAUGAACCGUUAUAACCGGCGAUUUCCGAAUGGGGAAACCCAGUGUGAUUCGUCACACUAUCAUUAACUGAAUCCAUAGGUUAAUGAGGCGAACCGGGGGAACUGAAACAUCUAAGUACCCCGAGGAAAAGAAAUCAACCGAGAUUCCCCCAGUAGCGGCGAGCGAACGGGGAGGAGCCCAGAGCCUGAAUCAGUGUGUGUGUUAGUGGAAGCGUCUGGAAAGGCGCGCGAUACAGGGUGACAGCCCCGUACACAAAAAUGCACAUGCUGUGAGCUCGAUGAGUAGGGCGGGACACGUGGUAUCCUGUCUGAAUAUGGGGGGACCAUCCUCCAAGGCUAAAUACUCCUGACUGACCGAUAGUGAACCAGUACCGUGAGGGAAAGGCGAAAAGAACCCCGGCGAGGGAGUGAAAAAGAACCUGAAACCGUGUACGUACAAGCAGUGGGAGCACAGAGCAAUCUGUGUGACUGCGUACCUUUGUAUAAUGGGUCAGCGACUUAUAUUCUGUAGCAAGGUUAACCGAAUAGGGAGCCGAAGGGAAACCGAGUCUUAACUGGGCGUUAAGUUGCAGGGUAUAGACCCGAAACCCGGUGAUCUAGCCAUGGGCAGGUUGAAGGUUGGGUAACACUAACUGGAGGACCGAACCGACUAAUGUUGAAAAAUUAGCGGAUGACUUGUGGCUGGGGGUGAAAGGCCAAUCAAACCGGGAGAUAGCUGGUUCUCCCCGAAAGCUAUUUAGGUAGCGCCUCGUGAAUUCAUCUCCGGGGGUAGAGCACUGUUUCGGCAAGGGGGUCAUCCCGACUUACCAACCCGAUGCAAACUGCGAAUACCGGAGAAUGUUAUCACGGGAGACACACGGCGGGUGCUAACGUCCGUCGUGAAGAGGGAAACAACCCAGACCGCCAGCUAAGGUCCCAAAGUCAUGGUUAAGUGGGAAACGAUGUGGGAAGGCCCAGACAGCCAGGAUGUUGGCUUAGAAGCAGCCAUCAUUUAAAGAAAGCGUAAUAGCUCACUGGUCGAGUCGGCCUGCGCGGAAGAUGUAACGGGGCUAAACCAUGCACCGAAGCUGCGGCAGCGACGCUUAUGCGUUGUUGGGUAGGGGAGCGUUCUGUAAGCCUGUGAAGGUGUGCUGUGAGGCAUGCUGGAGGUAUCAGAAGUGCGAAUGCUGACAUAAGUAACGAUAAAGCGGGUGAAAAGCCCGCUCGCCGGAAGACCAAGGGUUCCUGUCCAACGUUAAUCGGGGCAGGGUGAGUCGACCCCUAAGGCGAGGCCGAAAGGCGUAGUCGAUGGGAAACAGGUUAAUAUUCCUGUACUUGGUGUUACUGCGAAGGGGGGACGGAGAAGGCUAUGUUGGCCGGGCGACGGUUGUCCCGGUUUAAGCGUGUAGGCUGGUUUUCCAGGCAAAUCCGGAAAAUCAAGGCUGAGGCGUGAUGACGAGGCACUACGGUGCUGAAGCAACAAAUGCCCUGCUUCCAGGAAAAGCCUCUAAGCAUCAGGUAACAUCAAAUCGUACCCCAAACCGACACAGGUGGUCAGGUAGAGAAUACCAAGGCGCUUGAGAGAACUCGGGUGAAGGAACUAGGCAAAAUGGUGCCGUAACUUCGGGAGAAGGCACGCUGAUAUGUAGGUGAAGCGACUUGCUCGUGGAGCUGAAAUCAGUCGAAGAUACCAGCUGGCUGCAACUGUUUAUUAAAAACACAGCACUGUGCAAACACGAAAGUGGACGUAUACGGUGUGACGCCUGCCCGGUGCCGGAAGGUUAAUUGAUGGGGUCAGCGCAAGCGAAGCUCUUGAUCGAAGCCCCGGUAAACGGCGGCCGUAACUAUAACGGUCCUAAGGUAGCGAAAUUCCUUGUCGGGUAAGUUCCGACCUGCACGAAUGGCGUAAUGAUGGCCAGGCUGUCUCCACCCGAGACUCAGUGAAAUUGAACUCGCUGUGAAGAUGCAGUGUACCCGCGGCAAGACGGAAAGACCCCGUGAACCUUUACUAUAGCUUGACACUGAACAUUGAGCCUUGAUGUGUAGGAUAGGUGGGAGGCUUAGAAGUGUGGACGCCAGUCUGCAUGGAGCCGACCUUGAAAUACCACCCUUUAAUGUUUGAUGUUCUAACGUUGACCCGUGAUCCGGGUUGCGGACAGUGUCUGGUGGGUAGUUUGACUGGGGCGGUCUCCUCCUAAAGAGUAACGGAGGAGCACGAAGGUUGGCUAAUCCUGGUCGGACAUCAGGAGGUUAGUGCAAUGGCAUAAGCCAGCUUGACUGCGAGCGUGACGGCGCGAGCAGGUGCGAAAGCAGGUCAUAGUGAUCCGGUGGUUCUGAAUGGAAGGGCCAUCGCUCAACGGAUAAAAGGUACUCCGGGGAUAACAGGCUGAUACCGCCCAAGAGUUCAUAUCGACGGCGGUGUUUGGCACCUCGAUGUCGGCUCAUCACAUCCUGGGGCUGAAGUAGGUCCCAAGGGUAUGGCUGUUCGCCAUUUAAAGUGGUACGCGAGCUGGGUUUAGAACGUCGUGAGACAGUUCGGUCCCUAUCUCGCCGUGGGCGCUGGAGAACUGAGGGGGCUGCUCCUAGUACGAGAGGACCGGAGUGGACGCAUCACUGGUGUUCGGGUUGUCAUGCCAAUGGCACUGCCCGGUAGCUAAAUGCGGAAGAGAUAAGUGCUGAAAGCAUCUAAGCACGAAACUUGCCCCGAGAUGAGUUCUCCCUGACUCCUUGAGAGUCCUGAAGGAACGUUGAAGACGACGACGUUGAUAGGCCGGGUGUGUAAGCGCAGCGAUGCGUUGAGCUAACCGGUACUAAUGAACCGUGAGGCUUAACCUU